ACGAACGCUGGCGGCGUGCUUAACACAUGCAAGUCGAACGGAAAGGCCCUGCUUGCAGGGUACUCGAGUGGCGAACGGGUGAGUAACACGUGGGUGAUCUGCCCUGCACUUCGGGAUAAGCCUGGGAAACUGGGUCUAAUACCGGAUAGGAGCCAUUUUUAGUGUGAUGGUUGGAAAGUUUUUUCGGUGUAGGAUGAGCUCGCGGCCUAUCAGCUUGUUGGUGGGGUAAUGGCCUACCAAGGCGGCGACGGGUAGCCGGCCUGAGAGGGUGGACGGCCACAGUGGGACUGAGAUACGGCCCAGACUCCUACGGGAGGCAGCAGUGGGGAAUAUUGCACAAUGGGCGCAAGCCUGAUGCAGCGACGCCGCGUGGGGGAUGACGGCCUUCGGGUUGUAAACUCCGUUCGCUAGGGACGAAGCUUUUUGUGACGGUACCUAGAUAAGAAGCACCGGCUAACUACGUG
rnacentral:rRNA from 1 species